CAAAAAUCUGGAAGAUGCUGUGAAGACAUUGGACAGAUGCCAUGGCAACAGCCUCCAAAGGAAGUUUGGUGUCGUGCUACUACAUCACGCCGUCACCAGGGUGCAGUACAGCCAUACAGUCCCUGCUGUGACCACGGUGGGAUUUGCUCCAAAAAAUAGAGUAGUUGUACUGGUUCUACAAAACUUGAACACUGCUGAAAGGACUUGUGUGUGGCAAAUGCAAGACUGAUAUCCAAGCAAUUUCUGUCUAAUGUCAUCAUAUGGCAUCACUUAUUUGUGCACGUGUAGUGCCCUUUGCACAAGCAGGGAUGACUUCAAGGGAUAGGAAUAGUGAAGAUUCAAGCUUCGUAUGUACUAGAAGCUAGUCAGUGCUUGAUACCAAUUAUCUUCAGAGAUGCAAACAAGCUGGAGUCUUUAUUUCUAAAUGUGAUCUCUUAGAUCAAAGGAAUGCCUUUCAGUAUCCUUUUGGAUAUUGAUCACUUCGACCUAGGUAACAAUGUCUCAGGAAGGCUGCAGGAGAACUGAGGAAUUCAAAGGCAACAUUUUAAUGAGGGUCAGUUUGGAUGCCUUUGUUUCUGGAUAUCAUCUUGAUUUGCAGAGGUAGACACCUCGGUUGGAAUUAGUGGGGAAGAGUCUACACUGAAUAUCUGUUAUCAAGCAGCCACAAGAAACAUAACUUUUUUUGUAUAGUAUCCAGAUUCUUCAGUUUGAAAAGAAAACUUCCAUGUGUGAAUUUGAACCAGAAGUACUGGUCACCACAAGAUGACAGUAUAGUUCAACUAAAACUUUUCUCCUAAACAACUCGGUAAAAACUGUCUAAACAGUAACAGUAAAUUAAGUUAAUAAAUUGGAAACAAUACUAUCUGUACAGUUCUUAAAGCGCUAUGACAGUAACAGAAAAUACAAGCAAACAGCAAUGCUUAUGAAAAAGGCUCUUGCAUCCUGCUAAGAAACUAAUGAGUAUAAUACAGAAGGCUUUCUAUUUGUUUAAGAUGAAAAUGGAGAAGAAAAUUAAACAGCUGUCACUAACUUACAAAAUUGCUUGUUAAAAUAUAGUGGAAAUGAUCAAAGAAAUAUAAAAACUCUUUGUAUAACAAAGCUUAUACAAUGUGUACAAAAUACAUUUGAUACUGUUGCUUUCUGUAGGCAGUCCUGAAUGGGAAGGGAAGAGCCCCUUUAUCACAGCUACCUACUCUUUCCAUGCAUUGAGACUCUUCUUUUCCAUACAAAACAGCACAAAAUAUGACCUCACAUGUAGCACACAGAAAUCAAUGCCAGAGUUUAAUAAUAAAAAUCAGUUAUUCGAACUCA